rnacentral:lncRNA from 10 species
GUGCCGACCGCCCCUGGCCCAGUCCAGGGCACCCCCGCAGCCUGGCCAACCAGACACCCGAGCGACCUCGACGAACCCCUCCCAGGCAAGCCCUCGGGCGUCGCUCCCACGCCGAGCCCAGGCGUGGAAUUGAGAGAGGCUCCCUAGCUCAAUGCAUGGCACGCUCCGUCGCUCCACCUCACCCCCUUUCCCCUGCCUGCCGCUCACCCCACGGCCGCCCCACGCCAGCCCCCGCCACUGCCUUCGCGUCUACCUGCAGCCGGGCUGCUGGGUAGGAGUGCCCCAGGACGCCCGGCCCCGGGGAGAGCCGCCUAUUCCCGGGGCACCUUAGAAUGGUCCCCUUGAUCUUCUGGAAGUUGUAGUCCCCCGACUACAAAAUGGCUAUGGCCACGGAAGCUGGGAACUACAAUUCCCAGCCUGCCCCGCAAAGCCUGUCACUCAACUCCCCUCCCUCCUCCUCGCCCCCUCCCCCUCACUGGCCGUGCCAACAAACGCUUGGACGACGUCGCUGGUGGCCCAGGAGUGAAGCCCCGGCGGCUGCCUCCUGAGAAAAGAUAGCCGUGUUUAAAGAGACUGAACGGGAUCUUUGCUUUGCCGGGCGUAUUUUGUGAUAAAAUACCACAAAAUGUUGAGACAAAAAUGAGUGGAAUAUGGAGACCGAGCCGCACAGACACGCAAUUGUAAGGAAACAUCUCGAACACCGAGUGCCAGGAAUAUCAACUGUCCGGGCCACGCAAGAGCCUGCUUUUUACCUGCCUCCAGCCCCCUGUCGUGCUGGUUUAAUCGCUGAAACAAAUGAAGUAGCAGGCCCUGGCAUAGCGCUUUGGGCCUUCGCCUUAUUAACAACUUUGUCAAGUCUCGCAUCGCGAUUCUGCCUUGUUAAUUUCCUUGUUUUUCGCUGUGGUUUUGGAGAAGCAAUGUUUUCCAUGAUCUCUCAGGCUAGCCUCGGAAUAAAACGUGGCAGAAGCGCUCCCGCGAACACAUACCCAUAUAUUUUAUUCUACCUAUUCCCUAGAGUCUGCUAACUUCAAAAGUCUAGAUACUCACACAGCUGUUUACUUGCAGCAGUAUUUGAAGAGAUAACCUUGGUGUCUAGAAAGGUCUCAGAAACUGGAGGUAAGAGACCUGGAUUCAAAUCGCGCCUUGGCCACUUCCCAAAAGGCAACCGAGAGCCUCUCUGAGCUUGUCAGUUUCCGCAUCUGCAAAUUAGUGGUGAUCAAACCUGUGGGGAUGAUUAUGUGAUAAAUAACAGUAACCUAGUUUAAAACUAGGCACGUUAUUGGAAGCUUUCAGUAAACGAAAUAAAAAGCCUUUUCGAGAGGGUAUUUUCCUUAUUAUUUUUACCUUUUCAAAAAAUCUGAAAUGAAAUAAUUUUAUCUAAUGUUCACUUCACAAUUGGAAAAAUAAAUGAUCUUUUGUGCCCUGAAUACUGCAA